UACAGAGGUCUCAAGCGUUGUUCGGAUUCAUUGGGCGUAAAGGGUGCGUAGGCGGCGCGGUAAGUCGGGUGUGAAAUCUCGGGGCUUAACUCCGAAACUGCAUUCGAUACUGCCGUGCUUGAGGACUGGAGAGGAGACUGGAAUUUACGGUGUAGCGGUGAAAUGCGUAGAUAUCGUAAGGAAGACCAGUGGCGAAGGCGGGUCUCUGGACAGUUCCUGACGCUGAGGCACGGAAGGUCAGGGGAGCAAAACGGG
rnacentral:rRNA from 1 species